CACACUGGGACUGAGACACGGCCCAGACUCCUACGGGAGGCAGCAGUAGGGAAUUUUCGGCAAUGGGCGCAAGCCUGACCGAGCAACGCCGCGUGAGUGAUUAAGGCCUUCGGGUUGUAAAGCUCUGUUGUAAGGGAAGAACAUUCAGGAUAGGAAAUGAUCUUGAACUGACGGUACCUUACCAGAAAGCCACGGCUAACUACGUGCCAGCAGCCGCGGUAAUACGUAGGUGGCAAGCGUUAUCCGGAAUUAUUGGGCGUAAAGGGUGCGUAGGCGGUUUAUUAAGUCUAUGGUGAAAGUGCGGGGCUCAACCCCGUAUGGCCAUAGAAACUAGUAGACUUGAGUGCAGGAGAGGGCAAUGGAAUUCCAUGUGUAGCGGUAAAAUGCGUAGAUAUAUGGAGGAACACCAGUGGCGAAGGCGGUUGCCUGGCCUGUAACUGACGCUGAAGCACGAAAGCGUGGGGAGCAAAUAGGAUUAGAUACCCUAGUAGUCCACGCCGUAAACGAUGAAUACUAAGUGUUGGAGAAAUUCAGUGCUGCAGUUAACGCAAUAAGUAUUCCGCCUGGGGAGUAUGCACGCAAGUGUGAAACUCAAAGGAAUUGACGGGGGCCCGCACAAGCGGUGGAGUAUGUGGUUUAAUUCGAAGCAACGCGAAGAACCUUACCAGGCCUUGACAUCCCUUGCAGAGGUAUAGAGAUAUAUCCGAGGUUAUCAAGGAGACAGGUGGUGCAUGGUUGUCGUCAGCUCGUGUCGUGAGAUGUUGGGUUAAGUCCCGCAACGAGCGCAACCCUUGUCUUUAGUUACCAUCAUUCAGUUGGGGACUCUAGAGAGACUGCCGGUGAUAAACCGGAGGAAGGUGGGGAUGACGUCAAAUCAUCAUGCCCCUUAUGGCCUGGGCUACAAACGUAAUACAAUGGCGUAUACAAAGGGAUGCGAAAGGGCGACCUGGAGCAAAACUCACAAAGUACGUCUCAGUUCAGAUUGGAGUCUGCAACUCGACUCCAUGAAGGCGGAAUCGCUAGUAAUCGCGGAUCAGCAUGCCGCGGUGAAUACGUUCUCGGGGUUUGUACACACCGCCCGUCAAACCAUGAGAGUUGGUAAUACCCGAAGCCGGUGGCC
rnacentral:rRNA from 1 species